GACGAACGCUGGCGGCGUGCCUAAUACAUGCAAGUCGAACGCAGUGGGGACGGGUGAGUAACACGUGGGUAACCUCCCAUCAGAGGGGAUAACACUUGGAAACAGGUGCUAAACCGCUACUGAUGGAUGGACCCGCGGUGCCUUAGCUAGUUGGUGAGGUAACGGCUCACCAAGGCCACGAUGCAUAGCCGAUCUGCAUGGUGGUCCGUCAACAGUGGGACUGAGACCAUGCCCAGACUCGUACGGUGGGCAGCAGUAGGGAAUCUUCGGCAAUGGCCGAAAGGCUGACCGGGACACGCCGCGUGAGUGAAGAAGGUUUUCGGAUCGUAAAACUCGGUUUUUAGAGAAGCGGUAUCUAACCAGAAAGCCACGGCUAACUACGUGCCAGCCGCCGCGGUAAUAC
rnacentral:rRNA from 1 species